rnacentral:lncRNA from 1 species
GUCUGGCUCCCUAAUGCUUUUAAGCACUGGAUUGUGCUGUGUUUAGUCUUUCCAUUGGCCCCUCAGUUAAAUCAAGACCUAAGUGUGUGCUUGAUUAUUUCUAAAUUAGUUUGUUUAUAUGGUGGAUUCUGUUGAUGGAUCUUUAUAAACCACACUUGCAUCCCUGGGAUGAAGCCUACUUGAUCAUGGAUGUAACAACAUCAUUAAGAAGAGAACCGGAAGACAAAGACACAGCUAUUAGAAUGGAACACGUGCAGGGACCGCUGGCCUUGGUGUUGAUGAAUUGGCGGAGCAGAGAGAGCUCUCCUACAUCUUGGUUAGGAACAUGAAAUGAGACAAUCAAUUUGGAUAAAGGUCUGGCUGUUUUUGUAAAACUAAGACAGAUGUAUAAUCUGUCACUCGACACAGUGAUUUUGCUUCUAGGUCCUGACACAAGGGGACAAAAAGACAUAUAGUCGAUGUUGAUUGCAGAUUUAUCCAAAAUAACUCUGAACUGGAAACAAGCCUUGUGAUUAUCAACAAGAUAAACAAAGUACAGUGUGUUCAGCCAGUGGGAUACUGCAGCACCAGAAAGGAUAAACUACUGAUUCAUGCACGCAUGGAACAAAUUCAGAUUAUUUUAUGCCUUACAAUAAAAUUUCAAUAUAACUCCA